rnacentral:lncRNA from 1 species
GCUUAUCAUUACUUAUAAACUGCAGUUUUCACUAAAGAAAUAGGGAUAACAUUACAAAGCAUUAAGAAAUAACUCUUACCAAGUCAGAACCACACCAAUGGCAAAAGCACAUGAUCACAAACCGCUAAAUAUUGGACAAAGACCAAAACCCUGAGCAUGGGAGAGGCUGAAAGCACAAUGAAAAACACUUCAAGUUAAGGAUGAGUGAAAGAAGCUGACGUGGAAGCCAGGGAUACUAAUGGCAGGCAUUAUUUUCCAGAAAGGUCCUGGAUCACGCUGAGUUUUUACUGCAAGAAACCUAUGAAAAGUACCCAUUACUAAUAGCACUCAGCAAAGGUGAUCUACCCCAACCAGACAAAGCUGUGUGCCAUUUCCAAGAUGUUGCUGGCACUCGAACUUUCACUCAAGGUGUCUUACAUACCUUCUCCUCACUCUCAUUCAGAAUGUGCUUCCACAUUCUAUGCGCUCAGACUUCAAAAUCUCACCAACUUCAACAUCCAGGAGAAUAGAAGAGAUGGAAAUAAAGGAGGCAAGAAUGGUUUACAGAUCCAGCUGAAACCGAAUGGAAGGAAAGGCAGUGGAUUUCAUCAAGAUCCUACAGACAAGGUGUAAGAUCUGUAAUUUCGAAAGGACAUAUACACAAACUCAUUCAGCCACAUUCCAGUCUAGAAUUAACAUGAAGAAAAUCUAUUAACAAUGGUAAAGCUUUUUUCCUCUCCAAAUGAAUAUGGCAAUACCCAUUCUGGAGAACUCUUAUUCUCUGUUGAAAUAACACCACUUUUCUAUAUGGCCAUCUAGCAAUAAAUAUAAAAAUGGUUAAUUUGCA